GUCUGGUCCAAGCACAGUGGUGUUUGUAGCUAAUGAACAGUUAGCUGAUCACAACCAGUUACAGAUUUCUUUGUUCCUUCUCCAUUGCUGCUGCUUCACUUGACUAGCCUUAA
ensembl:misc_RNA Y_RNA Y RNA